rnacentral:rRNA from 1 species
UGGGGAAUUUUGGGCAAUGGGCGAAAGCCUGACCCAGCAACGCCGCGUGAGGGAGGAAAUCCUUCGGGAUGUAAACCUCGCAAGCAAGGGAAGACAGCUAGAGAUUUAAUAAAUCUCUAGUCCGACGGUACCUUGCGUAAGCCACGGCUAACUACGUGCCAGCAGCCGCGGUAAUACGUAGGUGGCAAGCGUUGUUCGGAAUUACUGGGCGUAAAGGGCGCGUAGGCGGCAAUUCAAGUCAUCUGUGAAAUCUCCGGGCUUAACUCGGAACGGUCAGAUGAUACUGCUUUGCUAGAGUGCAGAAGGGGCAAUCGGAAUUCUUGGUGUAGCGGUGAAAUGCGUAGAUAUCAAGAGGAACACCUGAAGUGAAGACGGGUUGCUGGGCUGACACUGACGCUGAGGCGCGAAAGCCAGGGGAGCAAACGGGAUUAGAUACCCCCGUAGUCCCUGAGCGGGCUGGCAAGGCGCAU